UGGUUGACUGCUAGUGGAUCCAGAC
rnacentral:piRNA from 1 species